rnacentral:tRNA from 1 species
AUUAGAGUAGUUAAAAUAUAUAACAAAGCUUUGAAGUUGCUUUAUUGGGGUGUUAAAUUCCUCCCUCUAGUA